AUUGAACGCUGGCGGCAUGCUUUACACAUGCAAGUCGAACGGUAACAGGCCGCAAGGUGCUGACGAGUGGCGAACGGGUGAGUAAUGCAUCGGAACGUGCUCAGUCGUGGGGGAUAACGCAGCGAAAGCUGCGCUAAUACCGCAUACGAUCUCUGGAUGAAAGCGGGGGACCGAAAGGCCUCGCGCGAUUGGAGCGGCCGACGUCAGAUUAGGUAGUUGGUGGGGUAAAGGCCCACCAAGCCAACGAUCUGUAGCUGGUCUGAGAGGACGACCAGCCACACUGAGACUGAGACACGGCCCAGACUCCGACGGGAGGCAGCAGUGGGGAAUUUUGGACAAUGGGCGCAAGCCUGAUCCAGCAAUGCCGCGUGCAGGAAGAAGGCCUUCGGGUUGUAAACUGCUUUUGUACGGAACGAAACGGUCCGGGUUAAUACCCUGGGCUAAUGACGGUACCGUAAGAAUAAGCACCGGCUAACUACGUGCCAGCCGCCGCCGUAACAC
rnacentral:rRNA from 1 species